UUCAGGGAGGAGCUGAUCUGUUCCUGAUCUCUAAAGAGACUCAAACUUCCUCCUUCAGUUCAGUUCAACUCUCCAACAUUAACUCUGCUCAACAUGGACUAUUAUGGUCUGUCUCUGCUCAUCAUCUCUCUGCUAACAGGAGUCAGAUGCCAACAACUCACUGCGCUUCAGAAAGAAGAGUUCGCUGUAGAAAGCAGCAAAGUUACUCUGUCCUACACUUACUCCAAAACAGCCACUGGAAGUGAUUCUUUCUUCUGGUAUCGACAAUAUCCUGGAAAACCUCCAGAGUUCCUGAUCUCCCAUUUAGGAACAGGAACUAAACUCCAGGAUCCGGUUCCUGGUUUCUCCUUCAACAUGAAUGCUGAUAAAACCCAGAUGGAUCUGCUGAUCUCCUCUGCUGCAGUGACAGACUCUGCUGUGUACUACUGCGCUGUGAGGCCCACAGUGACAGGAAACACCAGAACCCUGUACAAAAACCUGCAGUACUCCACAGCAGCCACUACAGCCACUAGAGGGCCUCACUCCCUGUUAAACCACUAA